CUUCAUUUAGUUGUAUGUUUUCCAAGGACAGAGAUAAGAUUUUUUCCCCAUUCUGCUUCUCAAGCAGGUCAACCUAGAUCUAGUAAGACUAAAUAUUUAUGGACAUAUGUCCCAAAGGCUUUCAGGGUUCUCUGGCCUCCAUUCUAAAACUAUUAGGAAGAGAGAGUUGGAGGUGGAACCAUGUGGAAUUUUAGCAGCACCUGGGUUUCCCGGAAGAGAACUCUGCGACUGGGACAAAGGACGGAAAGGGAAGAAGGCAGAGAAAGAGAAUUGAAGGCAGAGAAAGAGAAUUGAAGGAAGAAGUGUUCUGCUGUCUGCCUUGGUAUUUCAGGAAGAGGUCUGGGACUUCUGAGACUCCUCCCACCCACUCUAGAGUCCUUGGGCACACCCAAAGACCCAAGGGCUAAGCCCACAAUUCCCUUGCUGCUGUGCUACCAGAUUUUUUUGUUUUUGUUUUUAAUGUCAGCUCUAUUUGGUGUGCUCCUAAAUUUCGUGGAGGAUCAGCUCCUUUAGGAGAAAGAAAAUCUUGUGCUAUGUCAUGAGAUCUUCUGUGAAACAAAAAUAAAGUUUCUGAU